CCUACGGGGGGCAGCAGUGGGGAAUAUUGCACAAUGGGGGAAACCCUGAUGCAGCGACGCCGCGUGAGCGAAGAAGUAUUUCGGUAUGUAAAGCUCUAUCAGCAGGGAAGAAACUGACGGUACCUGACUAAGAAGCACCGGCUAAAUACGUGCCAGCAGCCGCGGUAAUACGUAUGGUGCAAGCGUUAUCCGGAUUUACUGGGUGUAAAGGGAGCGUAGACGGAUAGGCAAGUCUGGAGUGAAAACCCGGGGCUCAACCCCGGGACUGCUUUGGAAACUGUUUAUCUAGAGUGCUGGAGAGGUAAGUGGAAUUCCUAGUGUAGCGGUGAAAUGCGUAGAUAUUAGGAGGAACACCAGUGGCGAAGGCGGCUUACUGGACAGUAACUGACGUUGAGGCUCGAAAGCGUGGGGAGCAAACAGGAUUAGAUACCCCUGUAGUC
rnacentral:rRNA from 1 species